GUAUAAGUGUUAUACAGCGAAACUGCGAAUGGCUCAUUAAAACAGUUAUAAUUUAUUUGAUAAUUGAAUUUACAUGGAUAACCGUGGCAAUUCUAGAGCUAAUACAUGCUGGUAGGCUCGACUAUUGCGGAAGGGCGUUAUUUAUUAGAUAAAAAGCCAGUAACAUCUGGUCUAUUGUGGUGACUCAUAAUAACUGAUCGAAUCACAAGGCCUUUGGCCGCAAAAAGUAAUUCAAGUUUCUGCCCCAUCAGCUCUCGAUGGUAGUGUAUUGGACUACCAUGGUGUUUAAGGGUAACGAAGGAUUAGGAUUCGAUUCCGUAGAGGGAGCCUGAGAAACGUCUAACACAUUUAAGGAAGGCAGCAGGCGUGCAAAUUACCCAAUCCUGACUCAGGGAGGCAGUGACAAGAAAUAACGGACCGAGGCCUUCGGGCUUCGGGAUUGGAAUGAGACGAAUUUACACCCCUUAGCGAAGAUCGAUUGGAGGGCAAGUCUGAUGCCAGCAGCCGCGGUAAUUCCAGCUCCAAUAGCGUAUAUUAAAGUUGUUGCAGUUAAUAAGCUCGUAGUUUGAUUUCUGGGAGGGCGCCGAUGUCCACUUAACGUGUGCGCAGCAGCGCCCUCUCAUCUUUCUGUUAGCGUCUCUUGGCAUUCAUUUGCUGGUGGCGGGCUCAGAUAUUUUACCUUGAGAAAAUUUGAGUGUUUCAGGCAGGCUAAGCCGAAAAACAUUAGCAUGGAAUAAUGGAAUAGGACUACGGUCUCUUUGUUGGUUUGAGCGACUGCAGUAACGAUUAAUAG
rnacentral:rRNA from 1 species